UACGUAGGGCGCAAGCGUUGUCCGGAAUUAUUGGGCGUAAAGAGCUCGUAGGCGGCCUGUUACGUCUGCUGUGAAAUCCCGGGGCUUAACCCCGGGCGUGCAGUGGAUACGGGCAGGCUGGAGGCAGGCAGGGGAGAACGGAAUUCCCGGUGUAGCGGUGAAAUGCGCAGAUAUCAGGAGGAACACCGGUGGCGAAGGCGGGUCUCUGGGCCGUAACUGACGCUGAGGAGCGAAAGCAUGGGGAGCGAACAGG
rnacentral:rRNA from 1 species